rnacentral:rRNA from 1 species
CCUACGGGUGGCAGCAGUGAGGAAUAUUGGUCAAUGGGCGAGAGCCGGAACCAGCCAAGUCGCGUGAGGGAUGACGGUCCUAUGGAUUGUAAACCUCUUUUGUCGGGGAACAAAGGCGUACACGUGUGGACUGAUGAGUAUAACCGAAGAAAAAGCAUCGGCUAACUCCGUGACAGCAGCCGCGGUAAUACGGAGGAUGCGAACGUUAUCCGGAUUUAUUGGGUUUAAAGGGUGCGUAGGCGGACAGUAAAGUCAGCGGUAAAAUAGCGGUGCUCAAGGCCGUACAGCCGUUGAAACUGGCAGUCGUGAGGGGGCGAGAAGUAUGCGGAAUGCGUGGG